UUUAGUAUGCAAUCAAGUAGGGUGAAAGCCUUUGGAAUAUAUUUAUUUUUGUGUGUUUGAGUUUUAUUACUGAAAUAAUUAGGUUAUUAACUUAUUCACUGAUUUGUUGAAAUCGUCUUAGUGACUUUUUUUUUACUUUUGUGAUUUUGUUCGACAGUUUCUAGAAAAUUUUGUUUCUUGAGUUUUUGGAAUGGUGAUAAACACAAUGGAAUAGAUCUUAGGUGAGAGUUAAAUGAUAAUUUUCAUUUAACAACUGAUUUUGAUAGCUUUUAAAAAUCUCCUUUCAUCCAAACGAGAUUUUAGAAUAUAGUUUUCUUCGCUAUGAAUCAAAUGUUAUUUUUUUUUUGUUCUUUUUUUCCUGGCUUGGUAACUGAGAAAUCUAUUGGAGCAAACCCAGACGGCUUGAAAAAAUGAAAGUACAAACUCAGUUUCUCAUCGAUAAAUUACUUCACAAGGAAACACAAGCAGCUCCAAUAAAUUUUGAAUUUUAAAACUCUUCCUUCUUAGUUAACAAACAAGAAAGGACGUGAUUUCGGAAAACCAAAAUGGAGCCACUAAGUUUAUUAAAUGAGAACCUAUCUUCUGAUUUCUUGAUGAUCAAGCAAAUAAAUUGUCUAUCAAUUUGACCUAAGUCAUUUCAAACACAUUGAAAAGUAACAUAACCCAUUUGGUAAGAAAUUAUACAUCAAUGAUCAUUAAAAUGAAAUGCAUAACGUUCACAAAAAAACCGUUCAUCCUAAAUGGAUCCCCUAUAAAAACGUCUGGUUUAUCAACAUAUUGGUUGAGUUGAUUUGAAGUCAGCCUUAAUGCUUUACUUAAAAGAAGAGAAACACAAAUAUUAUCACAACUUACUGACAUAAGAUAAAUUUCAUUACACAAAUACGAAAUAAGGUCAACCACUAAUCUAAAACAUUACACCAAAAAUUACUAAAUACAACAACAAGUGUGACAAAAAACCAAUCACGUUAAUAGACAAGAAAAAAAUAAAUGGAAACAAAAAAAAUAGUUACAUGGAAAUCAAGGUCUGGGAACAUAGUAAUCAAACAAAAUAACUACAGCUUAAAAUACAUUCACAUGAAACAUAUAUAGCAUCUAGCUUCAAAAUAAGCCAAACUUAGCCCAAAUAAAUAAAUAUGUUUUUGUGCCCUAUAACCUCCUUCGUCAGUCACCCCAAAUCGUCUACAAUCAAAGCUCCAAAAUCCACAUGCAACUCACUCCUAUAUUAAGAAAAAUUAAAACAAUUACCACUAACCACUAAUACAACAGCCAUAACUGGAGCAAACAAAAGAAAAUGUAUAAGAUAUAAAUGAUUAUCCUUCUUUGCCACAUGCUAUUCGUCUUCUUUACUACACACUCUAAUAGUACGAGAACCUAUCAUUUUCUCUUCGGCAUUU
rnacentral:lncRNA from 1 species